UCAAAGCAAGGGCAGAGGAUUGAGGCAACUGCGCCACCACCAACUGAGCUCUGCCUCCUUCCGUCCCACCCCUUUUCUCAGGAAACAGGACGUCAAAACAGAGAAAAAAAUCAAGUGCAGUUCGCAGAGUUUUCCUCUGCCAAUUCUCUGGGAGGCGGUGGAGGGCUUAGCGUUUUUUAGGGUGUGCAGAUCUCGGAGCCCCUCCUCUUCUUUCCUCUCUCUCUCUCUCUCUCUCCCACCAACCACUCCGAAAAGCCCUGCCUCGUCCCCUGUUCUUGUUGCUUCUCUUGGAAGUUCUCCCUUUCUCGUCACCCGUCGAUCCAUCUCGCCCUCUUCAUCGACGCACAUUGUGCUUCAUCUUUAUUCGUUGCUUUGGCUACUGAAAAGGGUCCACUCCAACUUCGGUGUCGUUGUUUUCGUUAAAGCUCUGAGAGUUUCCAGAGAUCCUGAGGGUGUUAGAGCUCUUGUGUUCGUCUGGUCACCGAUGUCUUCCAACCCCCAAGAUCCCCAGAGUUUGUUAUCCUUCGUUGAUUCAACUAGGUGGCGUGGCCGUUGGUCGCUCAAUGAUCAGAGCAGAGCCCCUGCUGACCUUGACGAUUGUCUUGAAUCUGUUAUAAAGCAACGGCUGAGGCAGCGAGGUCAUGUCUAUGAGGAUAACGUGGACCAAAUCUUUGCAGAGUUUGAUCUUAAAGAUGUCUUGAUGAAUGAUCCAUCAUUCACCGCUCAACUAAACCAAAAAAAGAACGACGUGCACAUGAAUCUUUGAUGUUUGCUGACUAAUCCCAAAUUUAGCUCAGAGGAAUUGAAGGACUAUUAUCCUCCCAUUUGUUGGAAUUCAGAAAAGAGUCUGGAUUUUUUGUGUUUCCUCAGCGACAGACUAUCAGUGAGACAUCAGCGCAGUCCACAGUAUAACGUGCAAGAAGAACGUCGCACAUCGCUUCAAAAGAAAUUAAAGAGCAAGAAGCAACAGAUUUUUAAUGGGAAAUGGAUUGACUACAUAGAUCAUAACCUUAGGCAGGGAUCCAAGUACAAUGAUGAAUCUGUCGAGGAUUUAUUACGCUUUGUGCGAAACAAGUGGCGCUGCCGCCUGGAACUUCCGGAGCAAUAUACUGGAGGGGAUGGCGGCCGCCAGUUCUACAAGUACUUACAUGAACGAUUUCUGGAUCUCUUGAUGGUGUCGUACGGAGUGGCGUACCGAAUCUGCAGAAGAGAUAAAUCGUUUGCGCAGUUCCGUUGAAGUGAAAACCAUUCCCGGAGUACAAGUGAUGCGCUAUUGAUUGGCUACUUUCCAUGAUUCCUUCUUCAAUCCAGUCGGUUGUGCAUUCCACGCUUUUUGUUAUAUCUAUUCGACUCUUCUAGUGUAUAAAUGUAUUGUUUUGGAUGUAUGUAUAGCACGGUUGCGAUACUGAAUUGUUUUAUAUGUAUAGUGUGUUGUUCUUGAUGUUGCAUAAAAAUAAAAUUUAAAAUUCAAUUCA